CGACACGCGGAUUUUUUAAAUGUCGACUCUUUAAAUUAAUUCGGAAAAUAAAAGGAGACCAUGCUUAAAAUCGGCGGCGGAGCCUUGCUGGUGGCGGCAAUAGUCGCGGUGUUCGUGGUCGCCACGCAGGGCCGCGAUCCCGACUUGGAAGCGCUCGAGCAUGAGGGCCGCGAAUAUGUCUUCCAACUAGACAAGGCCACGGGAAAGAGGAGGAACACUGUCAGUCUCGCCGAGUGGGCCUACACUUCAAAUAUAACGAAGGAAA